rnacentral:rRNA from 1 species
AGCGUAGACGGCUGUGCAAGUCUGAAGUGAAAGGCAUGGGCUCAACCUGUGGACUGCAUUGGAAACUGUCAUACUUGAGUGCCGGAGGGGUAAGCGGAAUUCCUAGUGUAGCGGUGAAAUGCGUAGAUAUUAGGAGGAACACCAGUGGCGAAGGCGGCUUACUGGACGGUAACUGACGUUGAGGCUCGAAAGCGUGGGAGCAAACAG